AUAUAUAUAUAUACCUUUGAUGUUUUGAAAUCGGGAAUAUUUCUUGUUGUAUCAACCACUACGAUUCGAUGCCCCAGUUUUUUCUUUUGAUUUUUUUCUUAAUUACUAUUUUUUACUGUUGGAAUUGAGGUAUGUGCAUAUGACGGCUUUUGCCACCCAAUUAUUUUUUUAAAUCAAAUUAAGAACAUAUCAGAGAUGUUUGGUUGUUUCUGCCUACCAAUCUUUUUGGUUUGCUUCAUGAAGUUUUUCUAAUUGCAGAUUGCUGUGAUUGUAUUUUAUGUUAUUUUAUUUUUUCCCUCAUCGGGGAGGAAUGGCAGCGCUGGCUUCUACAAGUAGACUUUAUGUUUAGAAUGACAUUUCAAUUAAAUUGGAGUUACAAAUGUUUGUUUGGUCGUCUUUUUUUUAUUUAUUUAUUUUCAGGGCAGAGAUGUUAGCUUCUCUUCUGAUUGGAUGCGUCUUUCUGUUCAUGUAAACUCGGCUACAACCUACAGCCCAAUGGUUGCAUACAUCUUAUGGGUUCUGCAUUGGAACUUUGCUCGAUUUUGAUCUUCUCGUCUCUGUGAGAGUGGACUAGGUGAAAUACAUUACUAAGCCUUUGUGCCGGCUGUUUUGCGGCUGGAGUUGCUGCAUUUCUAUUGAUGGUUUUUCUGUUUUUUAAAUUAAAUAAAAGAAGAAAAGAAUUGUAUUCAUAUUAGAAAAAGAAAAUUCAGUGCCAUUGCUAACCUUUAUGCAUUGGGUGUGUACUGUAUUUGCAAAUUAUUAUUCAAGAUGUCAUACAGAUUGCUCGAGUAUCAAAAUAAUGCUGAUAGUUUUGAAUGGGAAACGCGGUGCAGUUUAGAGACUGUGGAGUUACUGUAGAUGUCAUUGUACGUUGCUAUAUUGUUGUUUCUCCAUCCUAAAGUAGAAAUACAUAUGGUUGGAGCUGGACUCCAACAGAUUAUGAUCCUCGUAUGUAAUGGGCGCCAAUGUUCUACAUCAAUGUGAAUAUUGUUCAGUUUUAAUGGA